CCCGGUUUUCCAUACCCGGCUAUUUUCAAUGUUUCAUAUCACGAUUGAUUUCACCCUCUUAUUUCCUGCCCUUUCUCCAAUCUCUCUAAUCUCUGAAAAGUGAAACCCUAGGUCCUUUACGCUGCAGCCUGCCGGGACGCCGUCGAUGUUUUGCCGCUGCCAUCGCUCUCUUCCUCUCAUUUCACUCAAGUCCUCAAAGCCCCUUUCUCUCUAAUCUCUAAUCUCUAACCUCUAUCUCGCAAUUUCUCAACUGUUGAAAAGUGGAAACCAUACGCAAAACCAAGUGAUUUCGCUUUAAAGUGGUAUAGCAUGCGGUUUGGUUUGUGGACAGAGCACUGGACAAGGAUCUGCCCAUGAACAGAACACCAACCACUAAGAAAACUUGCACAAAAAUGAUUUUUGAGGUGGCCCCUUCACUCUACAUGGUUGAGGUUCGCAAGUCUGGAGGAGAUACGCUAGAAUUUCACAAGGCCAUGGUUCCUAGGCUUCCUCACCUAGUAGUGGUGAUUUCUCUGCCACCAAGCUAUAAAUGCAUGUGUGGUGCAGCCAAUGGACUUCACCAGGCACCAAGGUCCUUGUUGCUUGCUUUUCAUGGCAUGCUAUUUUGGAAGGACAAAACUCAGGGAACAUAGGCCUGAGGGGUUAGUGAUGUUCUAUAAUAGUCUCACAACUGGGCUGAAAGAUAUUGCUUGGAAAACUGGGGAUGAAGCAGAGGAAAGGAAAGGAGAUUAGUUUUCAUUAUUGGUGAUGGACCUGAUGGUGUUGUGGCAUCUAAAUAAGGGUUUUCUUCUGGCAAUAAUAUUUCUUUCUCCGGGUGAAAUUGUUCAGAGUACUCAAUUAUGGACUUUGUCCCCUUUGCUUGACCCUCUCAUUCUGAACCCUAUUGUUGGUUGCCUAGACUCUCUUUGGAUUAGACAUUGCAAGUAUAUCUGUACAUACUUUCUUCUCCGUAUAAUUGGGUAUUUUUGGUUUACAUCUCUCAAAUUUGUGUGAAAACUACUGUACUGUAGCCAAUUAAUUUUCCUUUGGCACCUGGUAUCCAGACCAAAAUCGCGACUAAUCCCGAAGUGUAUAUUUGGGUUUAUUGUGUUUGAUGUAUUGGUGCUGCGUUUAUACCAAAGGGGAUGAGUUAGGUAUAUGAUGGAUGAUUGCCUCUGUACGUGACCAGGUAAAGGGAGUCUCUACUCUCUAAACUGGCUUUUGAUAUAUACUUUUAUUAACAUCA